rnacentral:lncRNA from 1 species
CUAGACUGGAUGGCUGGAGUGAUUCUGCGGUCCAAUUUUUUCUUUUCUUUUUUUUUUUGCAUAGAUCGACCCCGGGAUUUAUCAUCUCGGUGUAAAUAAGUAGUCGGUCGACGCACUCUCACCUGUAUAUAUAGCCAUGUGACAAUUGACAGGCCAGCCAGGGCCAGAUGCCAUAUCCAACAUAAAUUUGCUCUUGUUUGUUUGUGUUUUUUGUCCUUUUGCCUAAUUCGUUAAAUGGUUCGAUGGCCGUUAUACGAUAAAAAUUCGGAAAAUAGGCUGAGGGUAGCUAAAGGUAGGUUGGAAACCAGGUCAGAUUUUCCACGUUUUUUUUUUUGUCUUCCUAAUAUAUUCGUCUCAGUUUCGUGGUGACAUAUUGCAUUAUAAUUUAAUCACACUCGAGAAUAAUUUAAAUAUUUAUACAUAUGUGAUAUUCCGCAUUAAAACGUGGCAAAUUUCCAUCCGUAUGGUUAAAAUUAUAAGAUGAUAAACUCCACAAUAUUACGUUUAUGGCGUGUAAAGAGGAAAAAUGAAAUAAUCUGAAUUUUAUUCAUGGUCAUUAGAUGCAAUUUAUCGUUUUAGAUCUCCAUUUGGCCUAAUAAAACGAAUUAGGUCAAGAAUUUAUAAAGUUUCAAGUGCCACCCGAACCGCAUGACUCAACUUCGGCCUUUUAUUAGACCAAAAAAGUGUGGAAGUAGUCUGUAAACUCGAAUGUCAUAUUGGGUUCUCGACAUUGGCCGACAGUUGAAACAUUAAUCAUCAUCUAUUGGGCUGUGGUGUGGCUUUGCGGGAGCGCAAGUUUCUCUAAAAAAUUAGCCUGACAAAAAUGACAGUUCGAAACGACCCAUUCACUUAACUUUUUUAACCGUUUUCGUUUUAAAUAUCAAAUUUUCUCCCCCUAGUUAUCGUCUUACGCGGAUGAUUAAUCGGUAUCAGUUGUUGACUGAAUAAUGUAGAUGAAUAAUGCCUCUUGGAAUUCAGAUAUAGUUUCCUUAUCGUCGGCGGAUUUUUAUAUAUCGCGAGAAAAAAUUGGCAAAACAUGAGGAUGUGUAGAAAAUUUGUUUAGGUGGUAAAGCCGGACCCCUACUUAAAUCUGGGCCAUAAAGGCGCUAAGAUAACUGCCACUUUUCCCAAACAAAAUAGGGCGUAAACUUUAUAUGUAAACCUUAUCAAAUUAAUAGGCAGAACUUUGGUCGAUUCCCCUUAAGUAGGCCUCAAGAAAAAUAUUCUAUUGUUCGAAGUUUGCUAAUCGUCGAUCAGUUUGUUUUCUAUUAAAAAUUAUUUAUUUCUAACAACCGUUUCUAUCGCCACCACGCUUAUCCGCCACCAGUAUGAAGUCUGGCUCCAUCCGAGUUAUAGGCCAGUUAAGAGCAACUUCCUAAAUUUUUACUAAGGCAUAAAAUGUACGAUUUUAUAUACUUUCGGCUUAUUUUUCAUCCACGACCACUUUUCUCCUUCCAAAAUUAUUAAACGGAGCGAGUAGGCCACAGCCGACGUCGGCUCUGUGACUGGGUGUAAGAAAAUUCCAAGUUUAGAAGUCUAGACUGGAGUGGACUUGUUUGGAUUGGAAAAUUUAUCAAAAAUGACAGGAAAAUAGAUGAAGGACUAAUUUUAUAUUGUAGGAAAGAAGACGGGUAACAGGAUUUACUGGACAUAUUGCGCCGAAUAAACACUGCCUGGAGGUGGGCAGUUCCGAUGAAAAUUUAAAGGGCCUAAAAUUUUAUGACUGGUCCGGCGGCUCCCGUUCCACAUCUCCACCCUGGCCUAUAGGGUGGGCCAACGUCCAAACCAUUAUAAAUUACCAUUUAUGAAAUUUAAAAUAUAACUAAAGCACGUAAAAACAUUCUAAAAAAUGGGCGUGCGAAAUAUUUUUCUGUAAAUCGAAUCUUAAUUAUCUUCCAUCCAGUAUCCGGAAGCGCUUUAUCAGUCUAGCUAAUGCAUCAUACGCGUGUGUAGAAUUUAUUUCCCAGAAUGAUAAAUAGUUAUUGACGUUAGGACACGAAGAAAUGACUUAUUUAAGGAAUAUCUGACGUAGGUUUAAAUUUGUCCCAGAAAUAUCCUAGUUCCACAUCCCUUAAUAGAUCCCCCAAAUGGAUAGAUUCGGCAUCUCUUAUUAAGCGCUUAAAUUAUCGACUUAUUAAAGUUGCGUAAACCAUUUUUCCGAAACUCAUUUCGCCACUCAGUAACUGGAGCGCAACCUUCGCCCUUUGUUUAUCGAGUCUAAUAGACCAAUAGACUGGUAAUGGCAUUAACUAUUAAUUAAUCUGUUUAUCUCUGUUUACACGUCGAUUUAACAAACUGAAAAACAAUGUUGGGCUUGUUUACCGACAUCGGAACCUUUUUUGGAGAUUCACGCUUCUAAUUUCCGUUUCUCGUGCCACCUUCGGAUUAAAAAAAAAUCCGAUAAAAUACUAACUAGACCGAAAAUAGCGUUACUGUUUUCGCCAAUAAGAGUUCUGUUGGCAGUACCGUUCACCUUGGAGAGAAACCACUUGAUAGGCUCCUAGUUUAUUAUUUUGAAAGCGCUUUUACUAAGAAAUAUGAUUGGUCGCCCCUUAAAAGCGAUCAUUCAACUGCAGUAAAGUUUUUUAGGUAAAAAAGACGUGCAGCGGAAGGUUAAAAGCGUGGCGCCGAUUCUUUCUUUACCUAGUCGUAUAAACUUUAAAUAUCUAGAGAGGGUAUUAAAUAACGAGACUUAUUCGAUGCGCUUGUUGAAGGAAUAAAUAUUAAUCGAUGGUAAGCGAAGCAAAAUACGUUUAGAAUGGUUUUUACGUAGAUUAGAAGAGGAAAGAAGGCGCAGAGAAACAGAUGCAGUGAUGGGGCAGUGUAAAAAAUUUUUAAAUAUCACGGUGGGAAAGCAGAUGGAAGAGAGGAAAAUGUUUCCGGAGAAGGAUGGGAGAGGAGGUGGUGCAUCCACUUUCUGUAAUAGCUGCAGCCGCAUCCAUCUCUGGCAGGACCGGAGCUGGACGCUACAAUCAGUCACUAGGUGUCAUGAAUAGUGCAAACUGGCCGUGUUUGAAAACGUCGAAUGGGAGGAUUCCCUUUUUUAUUUCCUUCUCUAUGUCUGUCGUAAAGGAAUGUUCAUCCGCUAAAUGCGCCCUUUUUUUUUUUUCUUCUUCUUCUUCCUCCAUCUCUCGACUUUCC